ACGCAAAAACGAAGGAAGAAAAUAAAAAUACAACCAAGAGGAAAUGGAUAAGUCAUCUUUUAAGUAUAUUGGUACAAUAACUCUAAUAACGUGAAGCAACAACUUGAAUCAUGGAUAGUCGGAAAUUUGAAUGGCAAGCGCAAGACCAUUUGGCCGCUACUGCCAUACACCAUCAUGUGCGAGGUAUGGAAGGAGCGUUUAACUUGGCGAGUACCAAACUCUGCAUUUUGUGGUCUGGUGCAAAUAAGGUGUUCGUGAAAACGUUACAGUGAUAUAAUGCAAGUGCAAGUUUUCGUGAAGGAGCAGAUUUGGAAACCAACCUGGAUAGAUGAAUCUGUGCAUCCCAGCCAAAUGGAUGUUAUUUGUGGCACUAUCAAAGGCAGUUACUAGAACUUCAAUCAUCAGUAAUGCUGCUUCACGAGGUGUUAGUGCAGGUUGUAUGAAGUCAUCUUUAUAGCUGCUCGAAUUGCAAGCCACCUUCAGUAAUUGGGUUUUGUUCUCUGCUAUCAUAGUUAAGAGAACAGAAACAACGACCCGGAUGACUCUUUCUUCUUUGGAAGUCGAAAUGAUAUUCAACAACUGAUCAAGAGUUGCAUUCCUCAGCUGCUCAAAUUUCACUUCAGCUUCCUGCAUGGUUAAUUCUUCAGGUCACCCACAUGUGAAAGUGUCUUGCCCUUGAGUGCUUUAGAUU